rnacentral:rRNA from 1 species
UACAGAGGUGGCAAGCGUUGUUCGGAAUUACUGGGCGUAAAGGGCGCGUAGGCGGCCGCCUAAGUCAGACGUGAAAUCCCUCGGCUCAACCGGGGAACUGCGUCUGAUACUGGGUGGCUUGAAUCCGGGAGAGGGAUGCAGAAUUCCAGGUGUAGCGGUGAAAUGCGUAGAUAUCAGGAGGAACACCUGUGGUGUAGACGGCUUACUGGACCAUGACUGACGCUGAGGCACGAAAGCGUGGGGAGCAAACAGG